rnacentral:misc_RNA from 1 species
CCGAGAUUUUUUUGUUCUUUGAACAAAAUCUCCCACCCUUUGUGUUACCAAAUUUUAUUACUUUGGUGAAUCGUUUACUUAGUAUUCGUACUAAGUAACCAUCGAUACUUGCGAGAGUAUGGAUGUGUAUUUGCCAAAGGAACCAAAUAACUCUUUUAUUUUAUUAUCAAUUGUCUGAGUUUAUAUUUUAAAUAAACA